UACGAAGAUGGCAAGCGUUGUUCGGAUUUACUGGGCGUACAGGGAGCGUAGGCGGUUCUUUAAGCCCUUUGUGAAAUCUCCAGGCUUAACCUGGGACAGUCGUUGGAGACUGGAGGUCUUGAGGGCGGGAGAGGAGGGCGGAAUUCCCAGUGUAGAGGUGAAAUUCGUAGAUAUCGGGAAGAACGCCGGUGGCGAAGGCGGCCAUCUGGUCCGGCACUGACGCUGAGGCGCGAAAGCGUGGGGAGCAAACAGG
rnacentral:rRNA from 1 species